rnacentral:lncRNA from 1 species
UCUCUCUCUCUCUCUCUCUCUCUCUCUCUCUCUCUCUCUCCUCAAUCACCUUAGAAAGUUGUUUAUUCAUAAUUAACUAAGAUUUCGUUUGGAAUUGCGGAGAGAUUACGUUACGUGCGGUGAGAAACGAUGAUGAAAAAAAUACUCUGUUUGUUUCCGUACGUAAUAUUGUGUUUCGCAUAUUGCGGUUAGUCGGUUACGAUAUAUUUUAUGCGGUCCCAUCGGAGAACACAGAAAUAUAUCUCUAUAUAUACUUUUUCGCAAUUCCAUUCUAUUUAAUCGCGUUAGAUUGACCUCAAUACGAAACUAAGCCUAAUUAUUAUCAUAAGUAUUGUUUCACACUUUUAUACAUAAAUAUAUAUAGAGCAGGAUUGUUGUGCUCUUAAGAGCAUAGAGGAUGGUGUAAAAGUAUCCAAAUCAGUUUUCAUCUAAUUUGGAUAUUUUUACAUCAUUAAAACGGUAGAUAUCAAUCAUAAAAAAUUAUUGAUUUUGAACUCUUUCGAUCGCUAGAUAAAUGACAUAAAAAAAUCAUAAAAUUUAUUUUCUAGAUAUUUCAAAUACGGUAGAUCAAGUCUAACGGAGCCGAUUGUUGAUUCGAAAAUUCGAUCAUCAAAAAUAAUUUAGGAGCGCAUAGACUUUUGUGCUCCUAAGAGUACAGCAGCCCUACUAUAUAUAUAUAGAACUAGGCUGGAAUACUAUCAAUAGCACCAAGCUAUUGAUGCUAUUGAUUUUUAAGCUCUUGGAUUGAGAAAUGUGCGGUUAAGAUGAUAUGGACCCCCUAGGGUUGAGUGGGUAGUUGGUUGAAUAGUAUAAUCUAACGGGUAAAAAUAAUUAAAGGGUUAAAUCUAACGGUGGAAAACUCAAUAGCAUCAAACACUUGGUGCUAUCGAUGGUAUCCAAGCGGGACUCUAUAUAUAUAUAUAUAUAUAUAGACAGUGAGACAGCAGAGCUACUAUACUAUUGGAAGUAUGGAGUAACCGAUGCUUCUGACUUUUUGGCCUUUAAAUCAACUCCUUUGAUUAUUUCUAAACUUUGAAUUAAUACUAUUAUUCUGUGGGGAACACUCAACCCUAGGAAUACUAAUCAAUCCUACGGGUAACCCUAGAGUAUUUAUUAAGGAUUUUUAUGAUAUAUAUAUAGAGAGAGAGAGAGAGAGUUGAGCUAAAAUACUAUCGAUAGCAAACGGGCUCCGUUGUCACCCAUUUGUUUUCGAUGAUAGAGCCUCCAAAUCGACGAUUGGCACCGUUGAACAUGAUCUAUACCACUUAAAGUAUUUAGAAAUCAAAUUUCAAAUCUUUUCGACAUCAUUUGCCUAAUGAUAAAAGGGUUUCAAAAUUUAUAAUUUUAAUGAUCGAUAUGAGACGUUUUCUCAUUUAACAGCGUAAAGAUAUCCAAAUCAAUUGAAUUUUUGUUAGAAAAUUAUUUAAACUAUUUAAAAUAAGAUUUAUACUCUUGAUCUUGAUUACAAGACUUCUAUCAUCAUUUUUUAAAGAAUAUUUAUUUUCAGCCAUUCAGUUUUGUGUCCACUCGAUGGAUAAGAGAACAAUAUCGAAAAUGUAUGAAAUUUGAUUCCUAAACACUUCAAGUGGUAUGGAUCAUGUUCAAUAGUGCUGAUUGUCGAUUUGGAGGCUCCAUUAUCGAAAACAAAUGGGUGGCAACGGAGCCCGUUUGCUAUCGAUGGUAUUCUAGCUCAACUCAUAUAUAUAUAUAUAUAUAGUAAAAUAUACGUGCAAAUGCACAUAAUAAUUAUUAGAAAAAGUUAUAAUUUUUUUAAAUUAUUUUAAUUUUAGGCCAUAUUUUAUAUGAUUGCCAAAUAUGUAUCUAAAAAAUUUAAAAUAAUAAAUCACGCUAUUAAGAAAGAUAUGCUUUAAAUGAUAAAUAAUUAACAAUAAUCUCUAAUGCAAAAAUUACUUUUGAAAUUAAAUAGAAAAAUAAAAUCUGUUAGGAAAUAAAUUUUUGAAAUUAAAUAGAAAAAUAAAAUCCGUUAUCUUAAAAAGAAAAUAUAUUUUGAAAUUAAAUAGAUAAUAUCUAAAAAAGAUAUUUUAAAAUAAAAUGGAAAAAUAUUUUUUAUAGGAUUUUUACACCCGUAAUCUGUUAUAGAAAACUUAUUUUUGAAAUUAAAUAGAAAAAUUUAUAUUUUAGGAUUUUCACAUCAGUAAUCUGUUAUAGAGAACUUACGUAUUUAUUGCUGUUCUAUUUCUAUUUUUAUUCUUAUAUUUAAAAUUUUUCGUACGGAAAGAGAAAAAUGGGCGCUAAUUUUCCCACCGAAAAAUGGGUCUGUCGACAGACCCAAAUUUGAAUAUACGUGCUUUUAUAUAUAGUAUAGAUAUAUUAACAUUAAGUUAAAAAUGUCACACGAUGGAAUUGAGCUCCUAUGUUUUUAAAAGUACCAAGUUGUUGGAGCUUGUAGAUUUUUUGCCAUUGGAUUAAGGAAUAUGCGGUUAGGAUGAUGUGCGCCCCCUAUGGUUGAGUGGUGGUUGGUUGAAUAGUAUAAUCUAACGGUUUAAAAUAAUCAAAGGUAUAGAUCUAACGGUAAAAAAUUUAGAAACACCAAGUGCUUCGUGUUUUUACAAACACCAUAGCUGGACUCGCACACG